CGGGGCCAAUGAAGGGGCGGGGUUUUCAACUCGGUCAGACUCGUCUAUCAAUACGCUCCAGAUUGUCGUGCCGCCGCCCGGGACGACACAGAGAGGAGGAACGCACCUACACCACUUUUGUUGACAAUUACGCAGCAACGCCAUGGAGAUAAACGCGAGGAGGACGAGGAAAUAAAACCAACACCUUGAGACCCUGGAUUUUAACCGUUAAACCUCCACCGUGAGCCGCUAAGUGAGGGGCGUUCACGAUGUUUACGGUCCCGUGUGUUUCCCUAACAGGUAGCGGCAAUGACGGCUGCUCCCCCGUGAAUUAACGGACAACGCUAUUUUUUAAAGGCUUUGUGGAAACAUGGACGUCGUAUUCGCGGUCAUUUCGCGGUUUGAGUUGUCUAUGAAAUCGUAACAGAUUUCAACCCAUUUGUCGACCAUGAAGAAGGCGGACGGUGUGGAUUAAACCUAUUUCCUUUUCCUUUUCUUUUUGAUCGCCGUGGCUGGACUUCAGUUCCCCGAAUGGCUCUCCAUGGGCCGUGAAGGACUUGUUUUUUGUGGUCUGAAAUGAAAUAAUGGCGACACGUUGGACGGAUUCACCGCAGGACAAUGACGGGACUGAACAACGAGCCAUGUCACCAUCUUGCGAGGUUGAAGAAUAGUUACUCCGGGCUACGCCCACCGCUUUCGUUACAUCAUCAUCACCAUCAUCAUCCUCAGCCCCAUCAUCAUCCACAUCCUCAUCAUCAUCACAUCAUCAGCAGCAACAUCCUGGCCUUCAUAAUCGCAGAGCAUCCGGCCUAUCAGUGCUUGUCAUAACAUCCCAGUUGCGUUGCCAUGUGUGGAUUAACCCCUCAACAGAAAAUGGCAAUAGUACUCUGUGUGUGUGUGUGUGUGUGUGUGUGUGUGUGUGUGUGUGUGUGUGUGUGUGUGUGUGUGUGUGUGUGUGUGUGUGUGUGUGUGUGUGUGUGCUCUGUAAUCUUCUUACCAACACGCAGUCCAGUGUGUGGAGGUUAGAUGACAUCAAUCUUUGGGAAUGGCUGAAUCAAAAAAGUCCUCACGUGUGUGUCAGUGUGUAUCCGUUGUGUCCGAGUUUGCUACGUAUUUUUUUGCAUCCACUGUGUGUGUGUAUCAGUGUUUAUUAUCUGUUGUGUGUGUGUGUAGUCCCUUGGCCCUGGCAGAGCAUUAUUAUAACUGUUUACAAGUCACACACACAUGAGAAUGCUCUGGCUUCCCCGCGAGUCCUCCACUUCUAACUUCCAGUUCUGCCCCGCCGCUCUGUAACGACGUGCUGUUGGUCCGAGCCCCUCGAAGACACAGCACUAGAUAGAAAAACUGCUGCUCGCCCCCCCGCACCUACUCUGACAGAAAGCAGAGUGUCCCAGCCCUGCUAUGAAGCUUUAUUCAGUGACUUAUGACAACCCACAUCCUCAGUGGGUCCACUGUGUUGUGUCAUCACAAAUUUGCAGACGUGUCUUAUGAUGCAACAGGAUCACCUGGGGCCCAAACAGGGACAGCAAGCACCCCCCCCCCCCUACACACCUGAUGCCAUAGCAUCUCACACACACACCUCGCAGGCACGCACAGACACACAUGCUCACACCAUAAACAUUGUGGACCACAUAGACCCGCACACACACACACACACACACAUUGUUCUAAGAACACACACGUACACACACUUCUCUCUCUUGCUCUUACAACACUUUAAGCAGUCUGUUAAACACAGAAUUUUAAAUAUGGCUAGACCUGGA
ensembl:lncRNA